UGCCAGCCGCCGCGGUAAUACGGAGGGUGCAAGCGUUGUCCGGAAUCACUGGGUGUAAAGGGUGUGUAGGCGGAGCUGUAAGUCAGAGGUGAAAUCCUGCAGCUUAACUGUAGAACCGCCUUUGAUACUGCAGCCCUUGAGUAUAGGAGGGGAUAGCAGAAUUUCUGGUGUAGCGGUGAAAUGCGUAGAUAUCAGAAGGAAUACCAAUGGCGAAGGCAGCUAUCUGGACUAAUACUGACACUGAGGCACGAAAGCGUGGGGAGCGAAAGGGAUUAGAUA
rnacentral:rRNA from 1 species